ACCUGGCUGGUUCAGUUGGUAGAACAUGUGACUCUCAAUCUCAGGGUCAUGAGUUCAAGUCCCACACUGGGCA
rnacentral:tRNA from 1 species